UACGUAGGUGGCAAGCGUUGUCCGGAUUUACUGGGCGUAAAGCGCGCGUAGGCGGACCUGCAAGUCGGGGGUGAAAGCCCGAGGCUCAACCUUGGAACUGCCUUCGAUACUGCGGGUCUCGAGUCCGGGAGAGGUGAGUGGAAUUCCUAGUGUAGAGGUGAAAUUCGUAGAUAUUCGGAAGAACACCAGUGGCGAAGGCGGCUCACUGGUCCGGUACUGACGCUGAGGUGCGAAAGCGUGGGGAGCAAACAGG
rnacentral:rRNA from 1 species